AAAGAUGCAGAUGCCAAUAACUUAAAUGAGCCUAAAAAGGGAAUAUUUCCCAGACUCCAGAGAGGAGCCCAUCUUGCCAACACUUUGAUUUCAACAUUGUGGGAAACGGAGUGGAGAUUUCAGUUGUCAUCUUUGUCUUCUGCGUUUCUGGACUUUGAGAUAAUAAAUGGGUGUUGUCUUAAGAUAUGUAUUGUUUGUAUAGAUUGCUGCAGCUACAUCAGCGAACAAGGAAUAUUUGCUGCAUUUCCACUCCAUUUUGAAGGCACUGAAGGGUAAAUAGACAGGCAGAACUGAAGAUGAGCCAAUCUCAGAAGAGGAUAUUCGAAUCAAGUGAAAUUUGUAUUCAUGGAGCUCUUUGCCUGGGCGUCCUUACUCCUCACGGCUCAACUGGAACUCAAGAAAAAAGCCACAUUAUUAUUGACUUGGAGACAAUGGACAGAGGUUAGUGUUG